UACGGGGGGGGCAAGCGUUGUUCGGAAUUACUGGGCGUAAAGGGCUCGUAGGCGGCCAACUAAGUCGGACGUGAAAUCCCCAGGCUCAACCUGGGAACUGCGUCCGAUACUGGAUGGCUUGAAUCCGGGAGAGGGAUGCAGAAUUCCAGGUGUAGCGGUGAAAUGCGUAGAUAUCUGGAGGAAUACCGGUGGCGAAGGCGGCAUCCUGGACCGGCAUUGACGCUGAGGAGCGAAAGCCAGGGGAGCAAAGC
rnacentral:rRNA from 1 species